GACUACAUGAAGCUGGAAUCGCUAGUAAUCGCGGAUCAGAAUGCCGCGGUGAAUACGUUCCCGGGUCUUGUACACACCGCCCGUCACACCAUGGGAGUCGAUAACGCCCGAAGUCAGUGACCCAACCGUUAAGGAGGGAGCUGCCGAAGGCGGGAUUGAUAACUGGGGUGAAGUCGUAACAAGGUACC
rnacentral:rRNA from 1 species